UCCAGGCAGGAUGCGGAGCCCAGUCCCAGCUCCAGUCCCAGUCCCUUUCCCAACCCCAGUUCCAGCCCUGGCUCCAGUCCCAACAUCAGCACAGGGAGCUGCUGUCACAGCAGGGUUCUCUCUAGGAUGCUGGGCUGAAGGAGAAAGCAUCACCCCAGAGGGACGGGCGACUGUUUCUGUUCUGAGGCCUUUCUAAAUAACUGACAAUGAGAACAGGAAACCACACGGCUGUGGAGCGAAGCCUGCUCUUCCAAGUGGAAAAAGAGGGACACGUCUGCCUUGAUUGCCACCCUGUGACUCCACAGCCGAAGUGCUGGCUGACACUCCUUGAAGAGAUUUGCUCCACAAGCAGAAUCCCUUACUGAAUAUUGAAUCAGGAGCUACAGUAAUUGAAGCUCAUCUUUGCCAAAUCAAGAUGCUGUCAGCAAACCAUCCGUGACUGGUGAUUCUGAGCUUGGCUUCAUCAACAACUCCUACUUCUGCAAAGAUCUUUUCCAAAAAAUUAAGUAGCGAUGAAUCAAAGUAAUAAUAAAUGGGAAACAGCCCAACGCGAUAAGCAAGGGGGGACUUAACCCCACAACUGAAACAGUUCUUCUACGGGGAUAUUUAAUUGCUACGCAAUCAGACAGGUUUGGAAUACAGACAGCAAGAGGGACAACAACAAAAUGGAUUCUCACGGAACCCAGAGAACUGGGGCUCACAGAGACAGGAUAUGGCAGUGGUCAUGAACAGGUCCAUCAAAGGGCUGAACAAGAGAGGACAAGCCUACCCGUGGCUAAGAAACAUGAUGUUUCAAAAGCAAUGUCUAAGUCCAGCAGUCCCCAAACAGAGCGGGCGCUCAGGGGGGUGGGUUGGUGAGCGGUCCUGCUGUGCUUGUGCGACGUCUCGUGCUCUGAGCAUCAGCUGGGACAGCACAGGGGCGAGGCCGUGGCCUCACACUGCUGUUUAACACAAAGGGAGCUGGUCACAGAGUGACCAGGGUCCGUCACACAGGGUCCGUCCCAAAGCCGUGCAGAGCAGCUUUAGGAUCGUGCAAAUGCACUGACAAUCCCAGCCAACGCUGCACCGGCUGCCGUGAAGGUUGAGCUCCACGGGCAGCACAUUGGUUUGCAUGAUUCAGGCCUGGCCACUGGUACAAAGAACAGAAUGCUUCUCAGGCGCCACAUUUCUGGGCACUGCUGAGCUUUGACACCCAGAAAGAGCUUUCUUUAAUGGUGAAAUGUCUUUUCUGUGGGGUGCAGAGGCAGUGCAGGGUGGAGGCAUGUUUGAGGCACUGUCAGCGCAGAUCCAAUGCAAUUAACACUGGGGCGUUUGCCUCUUAAUGAGUCUGUAAUGACAGCGUCUUCCCAAAGAAGGAACAUUAGCCGGCUACUGUAGCUUACCUCUACACUGGGAUUGCAUGCUUACACUUCCCUUGCUGGGCAGUGCUUGGAAAAGGACCUGGGCAGCUACGCAGCCCAUCUGUUUUUUCCUUAUGUGCCCAGUCUGUUUUGACAAUCUUCUCCUUAGGUGAAAAGCAGCUCACACCCAAGUCCAAACAGCACCUUGCCAAGCCGCAGCGACGUCCUGGCCACCGCAGAACACACACAGAUCAAAGAGCAACCCCUCGCUGCACCUUGGCUGCGUGCUGAGCUGCGUCCAGGGUGCGCAGAGACUCCAGACAACCGCUGCCUUCUACAAACAGACAUUCCACCUGCAAAUACUAACUCAUGUGAAUUUUCUGACCACCGUUAAUGUAUUGAACGAGUGAGCUAAUUAUCUGCCUGAGCCACGGUAGGAACAAUCCUAAGAGCUUGGCAUCCUGAUUUUUCCAGGUCACAGAUUUUACAGUUUACAAUGAAACAUGGGCUGGAAACUGCCCUAGCCCAUCUACCAUGAGAGGGAAACACCACAAAACCUGAGGCAACAAGUGCCUAAAGAACAAGCCUGGCUUUGUGUCGUUUACUUUGUCUUUGCAAUAAAUCACGCCCUAAGCCAAAAACCAAGAGAAAACUUAGGACACGUAUGAAAUUUUGCAAAAGUUAAACCACUUUGUAGAUCAAGCUUGAACAAACACACAC